UACGUAGGGUGCAAGCGUUGUCCGGAAUUAUUGGGCGUAAAGGGCUCGUAGGCGGUUUGUCGCGUCGGGAGUGAAAAUCCAGGGCUUAACUCUGGACUGGCUUCCGAUACGGGCAGACUAGAGGUAUGCAGGGGAGAACGGAAUUCCUGGUGUAGCGGUGAAAUGCGCAGAUAUCGGGAGGAACACCGGUGGCGAAGGCGGUUCUCUGGGCCUGUUCUGACGCUGAGGAGCGAAAGCGUGGGGAGCAAACAGG
rnacentral:rRNA from 1 species